CAAAGGAUCACAGAUUAACAGAGUUAUUGGUUCGAAAAUCACACAGUGACGUACAUCAUUGUGGUGUACGAGCGACUUUAUGUAGACUACGAUCAAAGUACUGGGUAGUGAAAGGAAGACAACUGAUUAAACGAAUUGUAGGCAAGUGCGUUACCUGCAAGAGACUAGAAGGAAAAUCAUACAGUGAAGCACCAGUAUCAGAUUUACUAGGGUUUAGAGUCAGACAGGCAGCACCAUUUUCUAAAGUGGGAAUUGAUUUCGCUGGUCCACUUUUUGUAAAGGUUUGUGCGAAUGGUUCGAACAAAGUGUAUGUAGCGUUAUUUUCAUGCUGUGUGACACGUGCAAUACAUUUAGAGUUAGUACGAGAUUUGUCAGCCGACACGUUCUUACGUUCUUUAAGAAGGUUUGCCGCUAGAAGAGGAACGCCUAGUUUAAUAGUAUCAGACAAUGCAAAGACAUUUAAGGCAUCAGAGAAAGCUCUUAGGAAACUAUAUAGUCAGCAAAAGGUUAGGUCCGAGCUACAGACAAAGCGAAUAACCUGGAGAUUCAACUUAGAGAGGGCACCCUGGUGGGGUGGAGUUUUUGAGAGGAUGGUACGAAGCGUAAACAGGUGUCUUAGGAAGACUUUAGGGAAUGCUAGGUUAACGUUCGACGAACUUAAUACAGUUUUAGUUGAAGUUGAAGGUACAUUAAAUGCAAGACCGUUGACUGAUGAAUACGAAGAAUUUGAUGGUGAAGUCUUAACUCCUUCACACUUAAUAUAUGGUAGAGCAAUUAAUAUUAUGCCACAGAUCGAAGUAACUAAAGACGAGAAUAGUUGUGGGGAGAGAUUUAAGUAUGUAUCGUUAAAGUUAGAGCACUUCUGGAAGAGGUGGCAAAAGGAGUACCUAACAGGGUUGAGGGAGUUCCAUAAAUGCAAAAACGGAGGUAGAUUGAGAGAAGUAAGGAAGGGAGACGUAGUGACAGUGUACGGAGAAGGAGGAAAGAGAUGUAGUUGGAAGUUAGCAGUUGUAGAAGAGUUAAUUGUAAGUAACGACAAGGAGGUCCGAGGGGCCAAAGUAAAGGUUGCAGGCAAGGGUAGACCAGUUUAUUUGAAUAGGCCUAUACAGAAAUUAUUCCCAUUGGAGGUUCAAGCUCGACCGGGUGGGAAUGGGCAGGGAGAGGAUUCCCCCGUAGCUAAGUCAGACGGGUCCUUGCAUGUCU
rnacentral:lncRNA from 1 species